ensembl:processed_transcript Platr14 pluripotency associated transcript 14
GGUCUUUUGGAAUGGGGACAGCAUAUAUGUAAGAUGUAGCUGCUAGAGUUUCCCGGUAUCAUGGCGGAUGUGUAAGGAUUCGCCACCAGAGGAAUCAGAUUUUAAUAAGGCUUACAAGAUUAGGUUUUAGUUGUUGUGCCCAGAGAUUGAGUUACCAUUGUUUCUGAACUAAGUUUGUGUUGGCUUUCCCUUCACACAGUGGGGGCGGCUCAUCUGGGUUCAAGAGAGAAAGGGUUCAGACUACAAACUGCUUCUGUGUGACUAAGAGAAGAAGAAUCAGAGUAAAGAGAAACAUACUCUCUUAAUCUCCGAAGAUUAACGGCAGGAGGAGCUCUAGAAUUUCACAAAGGUGCUGUCAGGACACAUGAAAAUCUAGAGAAAAAGACCAGCUUGAAGAGACCAAAAAGAAGAAAGCCUGCCAAUCACAUCCUCCAGAGAUUCUGAGACACACACACCCCUGGUGUAGGGGGACACCAUCUGAAAGGUGACACCCAUUCUACGGAAUAUAAGUACCAGCUAAAGAGGACACACACUUGAAGAAAAAGGAGACAAUGAGGUCUUGUGAAUGCUCUAAUUUUUCAAAGCUUACUUUUAAUGAUGGUUCUUAAACGCUUUAACCUCCCUUCUAGUCCACCACCCACCAAAGGUAGUGAAAAGAAAGGUGAUUAGGAUACAGG